GAGCAAACAGGAUUAGAUACCCUGGUAGUCCACGCCGUAAACGAUGAGUGCUAAGUGUUGGAGGGUUUCCGCCCUUCAGUGCUGCAGCUAACGCAUUAAGCACUCCGCCUGGGGAGUACGACCGCAAGGUUGAAACUCAAAGGAAUUGACGGGGGCCCGCACAAGCGGUGGAGCAUGUGGUUUAAUUCGAAGCAACGCGAAGAACCUUAUCAGGUCUUGACAUCCUUUGACCACUCUAGAGAUAGAGCUUCCCCUUCGGGGGCAAAGUGACAGGUGGUGCAUGGUUGUCGUCAGCUCGUGUCGUGAGAUGUUGGGUUAAGUCCCGCAACGAGCGCAACCCUUAUUGUUAGUUGCCAUCAUUCAGUUGGGCACUCUAGCAAGACUGCCGGUGACAAACCGGAGGAAGGUGGGGAUGACGUCAAAUCAUCAUGCCCCUUAUGACCUGGGCUACACACGUGCUACAAUGGGAAGUACAACGAGUUGCGAAGUCGCGAGGCUAAGCUAAUCUCUUAAAGCUUCUCUCAGUUCGGAUUGCAGGCUGCAACUCGCCUGCAUGAAGCCGGAAUCGCUAGUAAUCGCGGAUCAGCACGCCGCGGUGAAUACGUUCCCGGGCCUUGUACACACCGCCCGUCACACCACGAGAGUUUGUAACACCCGAAGUCGGUGAGGUAACCUUUUUGGAGCC
rnacentral:rRNA from 1 species